rnacentral:misc_RNA from 1 species
UCCGGCUUAACGCCGGCAGUCUCGUUAGAGUUCCCGGCAUGACCCGCUGGCAACUAACGAUAAGGGUUUCGCUCGUUAAGGGACUUAACCCGACACUUCACAGCACGAGCUGACGACAGCCAUGCAGCACCUGUACACGUUUCACCCGAAGGCAGCCGGCUCCACUUUCAUGGACGGCAUCCGUGCAUGUCAAACCCAGGUAAGGUUCUUCGCGUUGCUUCGAAUUGAUCCACAUGCUCCACCGCUUGUGUGAGCCCCCGUCAAUUCCUUUGAGUUUUAGCCUUGCGGCCGUACUCCCCAGGCGGCGCACUUAUCGUUUUUAUUUCGGCUCGAAAACCGUCAGAGAUCCUCGAACCUAGUGCGCAUCGUUUACGGCGUAGACUAC